rnacentral:lncRNA from 1 species
GGCCCCGCCCCCGUCAUGGCGCCCGAGGAGAACGCGGGGAGCGAACUCUUGCUGCAGAGUUUCAAGCGCCGCUUCCUGGCAGCGCGCGCCCUGCGCUCCUUCCGCUGGCAGAGCUUAGAAGCAAAGUUAAGAGACUCAUCAGAUUCUGAGCUGCUGCGGGAUAUUUUGCAGAAGCACGAGGCUGUCCACACAGAGCCUUUGGAUGAGCUGUACGAGGUGCUGGUGGAGACCCUGAUGGCCAAGGAGUCCACCCAGGGCCACCGGAGCUAUUUGCUGGCUGGACUGGGAUCAGAUGGGAAGCGGAAGCUCAUCAUGACCAGAAACUGUUUCCCUACAGAGAGCACUUGGAGAUGGCAAAGCUGAACCUCACACUGUAGGACUCACACAUGACUCCAACGGGAUUGUGAGAAUUAAGUCACUCUCGUGGGAAGAAUUUUUAUAUGGGAAAGCGGAUAAAACUUUCAUUGGACUGGAAUGUUUGGAGAAUGUUAAAUUCCAAAUCAGGAACCACAAACUGCGCUCUAAUAAGACAUCGGCUAUCUAAGCAUGUGGGUUCCCCCUUUCUGCCAGCAGUUCUGGUUCUUAAGAAAAUCACCAUAAAUCAGACAUGAAAAUUCUGGCUCCAAAAAUAGCAUUUUCAUUGUGCAAAUAAAAACGUGUGUAUCAAGUAUGACAUUCCCCCAACGUGGACACACUUGGUUCCUCACAAAGCCAAGCCCGCUGCAGCUGCCACAUCCCUGGACACACUCGUUUCCUCACAAAGCCAAGCCCGCUGCAGCUGCCACAUCCCUGGACACACUCGGUUCCUCACAAAGCCAAGCCCGCUGCAGCUGCCACAUCCCUGGACACACUCGUUUCCUCACAAAGCCAAGCCCGCUGCAGCUGCCACAUCCCUGGACACACUCGUUUCCUCACAAAGCCAAGCCCGCUGCAGCUGCCACAUCCCUGGACACACUCGGUUCCUCAAAAAGCCAAGCCGGCUGCAGCUGCCACAUCCCUGGGUUUAUGAUGCAGCAGGUGCUUUUUUCAAGACAGGAAUCAAAGUGUUAGGAACAUGGCAGAAAGGUGACACCUGGAGACCAAAUGCAGGGUAAGGAGUACUGCAGAGGUCACAGGGAAGUCACAGAACAGUAAUACGCUAGCAGGGGCAUGGGGCGUGAAGAACAGAAGACAGGAAGCGUUUCAGAGACUCCAAAGAAGAAAUCAGGGCCAACCACAGCUUCCCGAGUCAUUCACCAGGUGGCACCACUGCCUUCAUUUCAGCUUCCGGCCACUGGGAGGCGCUGCUCGAAAGGGUUUGCCCUGAGACACCAAGAAGAAGCUGCGGGAAGGACAGCAGGGGCCCUGGGGUUUUAGCCUCUGGCCCAGGAGUUAUGUGUCCAUAACCAAAGGGAGCACAGUCUGCACCCAGCUCUCAUCCCAUCAGAGCUGCUGCGACUCCCGCAGGUUCUUCCAGAACUGGUUUAGCUUGCCUGCAGGAUCAGGAAAGUUUGAGAAAAGCAUCUGCAAAAUACUAAAGAGCAGAGCUUACUUCAUUGCCUGUCCCCACCCCAUCCCAGGUCACCACCUGGCUGAACCCAGGUCCCCGACCCAACAACAACCCCUCCCAAGUCCCUAACUCCCUCACUUGGACUUGAGACCCUUCACAACCCAGCAGCGCUCCGCCUCCAACUUGACAUCAUGCUUUCUGGAAACUUCCCCGUGUGUCCCACUUUCCCACACUUGGUGCGCUGGAGCACCUUCCGGCCUCUACAUGCUGUACGUUCCCCUGUGAGCACCCUCCUCUCAGCCUCUGGCCAACACAGUCCCACCCAUCUGUGGGUAACAAGGGGGUGUGGGUGUUCUUUUCAGCCUUGCUAAACUGUCUGAAUCAAGGAUCACAAACUACAGCCUGCAGGCCAAAUCCAGCCCACAGCCUGUGUUUGUAAAUAAAGCUUUAUUGGAACAAA